rnacentral:rRNA from 1 species
UACGUAGGGGGCGAGCGUUGUUCGGAUUUACUGGGCGUAAAGGGCGCGCAGGCGGUUCUGUUUGUCGAGUGUGAAAGCCCCGGGCUCAACCUGGGAACUGCGCUCGAAACGGCGGAACUAGAGUUCGGGAGAGGAGAGUGGAAUUCCCAGUGUAGAGGUGAAAUUCGUAGAUAUUGGGAAGAACACCGGUGGCGAAGGCGGCUCUCUGGACCGAUACUGACGCUGAGGCGCGAAAGCGUGGGGAGCGAACAGG